UACGUAGGGUGCGAGCGUAAUCGGAAUUACUGGGCGUAAAGCGUGCGCAGGCGGUGAUGUAAGACCGAUGUGAAAUCCCCGGGCUUAACCUGGGAACUGCAUUGGUGACUGCAUUGCUGGAGUAUGGCAGAGGGGGGGUAGAAUUCCACGUGUAGCAGUGAAAUGCGUAGAGAUGUGGAGGAACACCGAUGGCGAAGGCAGCCCCCCUGGGUCAAGAU
rnacentral:rRNA from 1 species